GACGAACGCUGGCGGCGUGCUUAACACAUGCAAGUCGAACGGAAAGGCCCUGCUUUUGUGGGGUGCUCGAGUGGCGAACGGGUGAGUAACACGUGAGUAACCUGCCCUUGACUUUGGGAUAACUUCAGGAAACUGGGGCUAAUACCGGAUAGGAUCUCCUGCUGCAUGGUGGGCGGUGGAAAGUUUCGGCGGUUGGGGAUGGACUCGCGGCUUAUCAGUUUGUUGGUGGGGUAGUGGCUUACCAAGGCUUUGACGGGUAGCCGGCCUGGGAGGGUGGACGGGCACAAUGGGACUACGAGACGGAGCAGACUCCAACGGUGGGCAGCGGGGGGGAAUAUGGCACAAUGGGCGGACGCCUGAUGCAGCAACGCCGCGUGCGGGAUGACGGCCUUCGGGUUGUAAACCGCUUUCGCCUGUGACGAAGCGUGAGUGACGGUAAUGGGUAAAGAAGCACCGGCUAACUACGUG
rnacentral:rRNA from 1 species